UACGGAGGGUCCAAGCGUUAUCCGGAAUUACUGGGCGUAAAGAGUUGCGUAGGUGGCAGAGUAAGCAGACAGUGAAAGCGUGUGGCUCAACCAUACAUCCAUUGUCUGAACUGCUCAGCUAGAGGACAAGAGAGGUCGCUGGAAUUCCUAGUGUAGGAGUGAAAUCCGUAGAUAUUAGGAGGAACACCGAUGGCGUAGGCAGGCGACUGGCUUGUUCCUGACACUAAGGCACGAAAGCGUGGGGAGCGAACGGG
rnacentral:rRNA from 1 species